CAUAGCUUGCUCUCGGGUGACGAGCGGCGGACGGGUGAGUAAUGUCUGGGAAACUGCCUGAUGGAGGGGGAUAACUACUGGAAACGGUAGCUAAUACCGCAUAACGUCGCAAGACCAAAGUGGGGGACCUUCGGGCCUCAUGCCAUCAGAUGUGCCCAGAUGGGAUUAGCUAGUAGGUGGGGUAACGGCUCACCUAGGCGACGAUCCCUAGCUGGUCUGAGAGGAUGACCAGCCACACUGGAACUGAGACACGGUCCAGACUCCUACGGGAGGCAGCAGUGGGGAAUAUUGCACAAUGGGCGCAAGCCUGAUGCAGCCAUGCCGCGUGUGUGAAGAAGGCCUUCGGGUUGUAAAGCACUUUCAGCGGGGAGGAAGGCGGUGAGGUUAAUAACCUCAUCGAUUGACGUUACCCGCAGAAGAAGCACCGGCUAACUCCGUGCCAGCAGCCGCGGUAAUACGGAGGGUGCAAGCGUUAAUCGGAAUUACUGGGCGUAAAGCGCACGCAGGCGGUCUGUCAAGUCGGAUGUGAAAUCCCCGGGCUCAACCUGGGAACUGCAUUCGAAACUGGCAGGCUAGAGUCUUGUAGAGGGGGGUAGAAUUCCAGGGUGUAGCGGUGAAAUGCGUAUAGAUCUGGAGGAAUACCGGUGGCGAAGGCGGCCCCCUGGACAAAGACUGACGCUCAGGUGCGAAAGCGUGGGGAGCAAACAGGAUUAGAUACCUGGUAGUCACGCUGUAAACGAUGUCGAUUUGGAGGUUGUGCCGUGAGGCGUGGCUUCCGGAGCUAACGCGUUAAAUCGACCGCCUGGGGAGUACGGCCGCAAGGUUAAAACUCAAAUGAAUUGACGGGGGCCCGCACAAGCGGUGGAGCAUGUGGUUUAAUUCGAUGCAACGCGAAGAACCUUACCUGGUCUUGACAUCCACAGAACUUUCCAGAGAUGGAUUGGUGCCUUCGGGAACUGUGAGACAGGUGCUGCAUGGCCGUCGUCAGCUCGUGUUGUGAAAUGUUGGGUUAAGUCCCGCAACGAGCGCAACCCUUAUCCUUUGUUGCCAGCGGUUCGGCCGGGAACUCAAAGGAGACUGCCAGUGAUAAACUGGAGGAAGGUGGGGAUGACGUCAAGUCAUCAUGGCCCUUACGACCAGGGCUACACACGUGCUACAAUGGCAUAUACAAAGAGAAGCGACCUCGCGAGAGCAAGCGGACCUCAUAAAGUCUGUCGUAGUCCGGAUUGGAGUCUGCAACUCGACUCCAUGAAGUCGGAAUCGCUAGUAAUCGUAGAUCAGAAUGCUACGGUGAAUACGUUCCCGGGCCUUGUACACACCGCCCGUCACACCAUGGGAGUGGGUUGCAAAAGAAGUAGU
rnacentral:rRNA from 1 species